UUGGAAAUCAGAUUGACGCCGUGACUG
rnacentral:sRNA from 1 species